AUUGAACGCUGGCGGCAGGCCUAACACAUGCAAGUCGAGCGAGAGGCGGACGGGCGAGUAAUGUAUGGGGACUGGGCGAUCGAGGGGGAUAACUACGGGAAACGGUAGCUAAUACCGCAUACUAUCGGAUAACUCAUUAGGGAUUGGCUAUUAGGUGAGGUAAUGGCUUACCUAGGCGACGAUCCCUCGCUGGGCUGAGAGGAUGAUCAGCCACACUGGGACUGAGACACGGCCCAGACCCCUACGGAGGCAGCAGUGUGGAAUAUUGCACAAUGGGCGCAAGCCUGAUGCAGCCAUGCCGCGGGUAUGAAGAAGGCCCUAGGGUUGUAAAGUACUUUCAGUCGGGAGGCGUUACCGACAGAAGAAGCACCGGCUAACUCCGUGCCAGCAGCCGCGGUAAUUC
rnacentral:rRNA from 1 species